rnacentral:rRNA from 1 species
UACGUAGGGGGCAAGCGUUGUCCGGAAUCAUUGGGCGUAAAGAGCGUGUAGGCGGCCAGAAAAGUCCGCUGUGAAAACUCGAGGCUCAACUUCGAGCUGUCGGUGGAAACUUUCUGGCUAGAGUCCGGAAGAGGAGAAUGGAAUUCCUGGUGUAGCGGUGAAAUGCGCAGAUAUCAGGAAGAACACCCGUGGCGAAGGCGGUUCUCUGGGCCUUACCUGACGCUGGAGGCGCGAAAGCUAGGGGAGCGAACAGG